rnacentral:rRNA from 1 species
GACGUAGGGCGCGAGCGUUGUCCGGAUUUAUUGGGCGUAAAGAGCUCGUAGGCGGCUUGUCGCGUCGUUCGUGAAAACCCGGGGCUCAACCCCCGGGCUUGCGGUCGAUACGGGCAGGCUGGAGUUCGGUAGGGGAGACUGGAAUUCCUGGUGUAGCGGUGAAAUGCGCAGAUAUCAGGAGGAACACCGGUGGCGAAGGCGGGUCUCUGGGCCGAUACUGACGCUGAGGAGCGAAAGCGUGGGGAGCGAACAGG